rnacentral:rRNA from 1 species
AUUAAACGCUGGCGGAAUGCUUUACACAUGCAAGUCGAACGGCAGCACGGGAGCUUGCUCCUGGUGGCGAGUGGCGAACGGGUGAGUAAUACAUCGGAACGUACCCUGACGUGGGGGAUAACACAUCGAAAGAUGUGCUAAUACCGCAUACGACCUGAGGGUGAAAGGGGGGGAUCGCAAGACCUCUCGCGUUUGGAGCGGCCGAUGUCGGAUUAGCUAGUUGGUGAGGUAAAGGCUCACCAAGGCGACGAUCCGUAGCUGGUCUGAGAGGAUGAUCAGCCACACUGGGACUGAGACACGGCCCAGACUCCUACGGGAGGCAGCAGUGGGGAAUUUUGGACAAUGGGGGCAACCCUGAUCCAGCCAUUCCGCGUGAGUGAAGAAGGCCUUCGGGUUGUAAAGCUCUGUUAUAAGAGAAGAACAAAUUGUAGAGUAACUGCUACAGUCUUGACGGUAUCUUAUCAGAAAGCCACGGCUAACUACGUGCCAGCCGCCGCGGUAA